rnacentral:rRNA from 1 species
GACGAAGGUGGCAAGCGUUGUUCGGAAUCACUGGGCUUAAAGGGUGCGUAGGCGGCCUAUCAAGCGUCUUGUGAAAUCCCUCGGCUCAACCGAGGAAUUGCUGGGCGAACUGAUAGGCUUGAGGCAGGUAUGGGCGCGCGGAACUCUUGGUGGAGCGGUGAAAUGCGUAGAUAUCAAGAGGAACGCCAGAGGUGAAGACGGCGCGCUGGGCCUGUCCUGACGCUGAGGCACGAAAGCCAGGGGAGCAAAC